rnacentral:ncRNA from 1 species
CUAUCCUCUGGAGAGUCCUUUUUAAGGCACCGACGAGGCAAGCUGUGAGGUUUAUCUUUCAGGUACAAGGACAGAGGCG